CUGUGCAAAGGUAGCAUAAUCAUUAGUUUUUUAAUUGAAGGCUUGUAUGAAGGGUCUGACAAAGAAAAAGCUGUCUUUAGUUUUAUUUUUGAAUUUAACUUUUAAGUGAAAAGGCUUAAAUAAAUUUAAGGGACGAUAAGACCCUAUAAAUCUUUAUAUUAAAUUAUUAUCUUGAAUUUUAAUGUUUGUUUAGAUAAUUAACAAGUAAAAUAAUAAAUAUUUUGUUGGGGUGACAAGAAUAUAAAAAUAACUGUUCUUAAGAAAAACAAAGUUGUUUGUAUAAAAUUUUAUAGAUCCUUUUUAAAGAUUAAGAGUUUAAGUUACUUUAGGGAUAACAGCGUUAUUUUUUUUGAGAGUUCUUAUCGAAAAAAAAGUUUGCGACCUCGAUGUUGAAUUAAAAUUUCUUUACGGUGUAGAAGUUGUAAGAGAAAGUCUGUUCGACUUUUGAAAUUUU
rnacentral:rRNA from 1 species